rnacentral:rRNA from 1 species
AUUGAACGCUGGCGGCAUGCCUUACACAUGCAAGUCGAACGGCAGCAUGAUCUAGCUUGCUAGAUUGAUGGCGAGUGGCGAACGGGUGAGUAAUACAUCGGAACGUGCCCUGUAGUGGGGGAUAACUAGUCGAAAGAUUAGCUAAUACCGCAUACGACCUGAGGGUGAAAGUGGGGGACCGCAAGGCCCCAUGCUAUAGGAGCGGCCGAUGUCUGAUUAGCUAGUUGGUGAGGUAAAGGCUCACCAAGGCGACGAUCAGUAGCUGGUCUGAGAGGACGAUCAGCCACACUGGGACUGAGACACGGCCCAGACUCCUACGGGAGGCAGCAGUGGGGAAUUUUGGACAAUGGGGGCGACCCUGAUCCAGCAAUGCCGCGUGUGUGAAGAAGGCCUUCGGGUUGUAAAGCACUUUUGUCCGGAAAGAAAUCGCACUUACUAAUAUUAGGUGUGGAUGACGGUACCGGAAGAAUAAGGACCGGCUAACUACGUGCCAGCAGCCGCCGCGGUAA